rnacentral:rRNA from 1 species
UACGGAGGGGACUAGCGUUGUUCGGAAUUACUGGGCGUAAAGCGCACGUAGGCGGAUUUGUAAGUCAGGGGUGAAAUCCCGGGGCUCAACCUCGGAACUGCCUUUGAUACUGCCAAUCUCGAGUCCGGAAGAGGUGAGUGGAAUUCCUAGUGUAGAGGUGAAAUUCGUAGAUAUUAGGAAGAACACCAGUGGCGAAGGCGGCUCACUGGUCCGGUACUGACGCUGAGGCGCGAAAGCGUGGGGAGCAAACAGG